AGUGAACGCUGGCGGUAGGCCUAACACAUGCAAGUCGAACGGCAGCACAGUAAUAGCUUGCUCUUACGGGUGGCGAGUGGCGGACGGGUGAGGAAUACAUCGGAAUCUACUUUUUCGUGGGGGAUAACGUAGGUAAACUUACGCUAAUACCGCAUACGACCUACGGGUGAAAGCAUGGGAUCUUCGGACCUUGCGCGAUUGAAUGAGCCGAUGUCGGAUUAGCUAGUUGGCGGGGUAAAGGCCCACCAAGGCGACGAUCCGUAGCUGGUCUGAGAGGAUGAUCAGCCACACUGGAACUGAGACACGGUCCAGACUCCUACGGGAGGCAGCAGUGGGGAAUAUUGGACAAUGGGCGCAAGCCUGAUCCAGCCAUACCGCGUGGGUGAAGAAGGCCUUCGGGUUGUAAAGCCCUUUUGUUGGGAAAGAAAAGCAGCAGGUUAAUACCCCGCUGUUCUGACGGUACCCAAAGAAUAAGCACCGGCUAACUUCGUG
rnacentral:rRNA from 1 species